AUCGCUUCUUUGCCCUUUUCACUUCAAGAUCAAGUGUAGCAUCUGUUCUUAUAAGUUCAACACCUGAUACGUCCCCUAUCUGGGGACAAUAUAUUCCCAGAGUUUGUCCAAUAUGAACACUU